rnacentral:rRNA from 1 species
CCCUUAGAUGUUCUGGGCCGCACGCGCGCUACACUGAUGCAUUCAACGAGCCUAUCCUUGACCGACAGGUCCGGGUAAUCUUUGAAUCUGCAUCGUGACGGGGAUAGAUUAUUGCAAUUAUUAAUCUUCAACGAGGAAUGCCUAGUAGGCGCAAGUCAUCAGCUUGCGUCGAUUACGUCCCUGCCCUUUGUACACACCGCCCGUCGCUCCUACCGAUUGGGUGUGCUGGUGAAAUGUUCGGAUCGGCCGUUUGUCGCGGUUUCCGCGGCUCGUGGCUGAGAAGUUCAUUAAACCCUCCCACCUAGAGGAAGGAGGAGUCGUAACA